rnacentral:rRNA from 1 species
UACGUAGGGUGCGAGCGUUGUCCGGAAUUAUUGGGCGUAAAGAGCUUGUAGGCGGUUUGUCGCGUCUGCUGUGAAAAUCCGGGCUCAACCCCGGACUUGCAGUGGGUACGGGCAGACUGGAGUGUGGUAGGGGAGACUGGAAUUCCUGGUGUAGCGGUGGAAUGCGCAGAUAUCAGGAGGAACACCGAUGGCGAAGGCAGGUCUCUGGGCCACUACUGACGCUGAGGCACGAAGGCCAGGGGAGCAAACGGG